UUUUUUUAAUUUUUUGCGCCAUCCCCUAUUCAGACAGCAUGGGGCCGGAGGAAACCGUUUACUUUCUAAAAUUCUAAAAAAUGAAACCAUAACCUUUCGGCAUCCGAUAAUGGCUUAUGCGGUGGCUACUCAAGCUGAAGAUUGACAUAAAGUUACCUUCCCACAAUAAUCACAUGCGAGAAUGGGUGAGUUGGGACAAACUUCAACACUGGAACUAGGAAUUUGACCCAAUACUCCCUCAGCCUGAUUGUCCUGAAAUUUAAAACAUGAACAUGAAUUAGAAAAUCAUACCCCAGGUAAAAGCAUUGUGGAUUGCAGAUUGCAGGACUUCUUUCCCCUCGAUCAACAAUGCUAUUCACCUAGGGAAGAUUGCUGUUGGCAGCUGAGGGUUGGUGGGUGGCUCGACUUCCAUGAUUCCAUAGAAGGAACUGUGUAUAUAAAUCAAAGUUUACCAAACUUACCUCUAGCGUAGUCUUCUUCAGUUUUUUUACACACAUCUAGACAGGUUCUUUAGUCGCCUGUUAAGCUUCAGGCUGGCCAUGGUAGUUCCAAUUUUCUUCAACUUCUGGAUUUCUUUUGCUAAAGUUUAUCCACCCUUUUCUCUAUCUCGCCUAAAUCCUGGGUAAAAUUUGAUUCCAGUAUUUGGAUUGGUAUUGGUAUUGGUAGGAUUAGGUGC